rnacentral:rRNA from 1 species
GUGGGGAAUUUUGGACAAUGGGCGCAAGCCUGAUCCAGCAAUGCCGCGUGCAGGAAGAAGGCCUUCGGGUUGUAAACUGCUUUUGUACGGAACGAAACGGUCCGGGUUAAUACCCUGGGCUAAUGACGGUACCGUAAGAAUAAGCACCGGCUAACUACGUGCCAGCAGCCGCGGUAAUACGUAGGGUGCAAGCGUUAAUCGGAAUUACUGGGCGUAAAGCGUGCGCAGGCGGUUUUGUAAGACAGGCGUGAAAUCCCCGGGCUCAACCUGGGAAUUGCGCUUGUGACUGCAAGGCUGGAGUGCGGCAGAGGGGGAUGGAAUUCCGCGUGUAGCAGUGAAAUGCGUAGAUAUGCGGAGGAACACCGAUGGCGAAGGCAAUCCCCUGGACCUGUACUGACGCUCAUGCACGAAAGCGUGGGGAGCAAACAGGAUUAGAUACCCGAGUAGUCC